rnacentral:lncRNA from 1 species
AGCUUGGAAGUAGUAUCACCUGCUCUGGACUCGCGGGAUCAGCUUUGUUAAAGAUGCAGGUGCGCUUUGGACGGCGCUCCGGGCAGGCGAAGGAAAGCCAAGGUGAGCUGCCUUGGCCCGUGCCGGAGCUGGGGUUGUUGUUUCUAGAACCCCAGCAUAGGGUGACAAAGUGAGGGCUUCGGUUGCCUUUUGAAAUGGGCUUUAACCAAGUCGAAAGCAGUCCCAGCAAGCAUCCUUGGAAGUUAGGCAGGUUGGCCUUCAGGUGAAUGAGUGGAAAAAGGAAAGAGGACUAGGGGAGCGUAGCAGUAGAAAGAAUAGACUAGGAGUAGAAUAGGGGUAGAAAAGGCAGCAGUUAGAGCCUUACCCCAGCUGUAACUCGUCAGACACUCGGGGCACUUAAGCUUUGUAAUUCGUUGAAUAAAUUUUGGAAUGCCGUUUGGAAAUGUUAUUGACCUAUCAAAAUCUUUAUAAUGUUGCAGACCUGCUGAGUAAUCUUUUCUAAAGCUCACGGAAAAACCUCAGUUCUUUCCACGCUAAAGUUAAAAUUCUCCCCUAGUCAAAUGCUUUGAUAAUGU